GUCACCCGGGCGGUGUCCUGCGUGCCUGGCGUUGCCGUUCGCUCAGAGGCUCUGCAGAGCGGGGUUCUGGGCAGACGCGACAUUGCCCCUGCUCCGAGGGGCUGCCGGGUCACCUGGACGCUGUGCGAUGGUAGCACAGUACAGCGAGGCGCAGCAAACCCUCGGCAUGCAGGGACCAGGACCCUUGUGGAACCGGCUUCGAGGACGUGUGACAGAUUCUCGGGGAAAGGGAGGUGUGCAGCCAGGCACCGAGGCACACACCUGCAGUCGCGCACUGUGGGAGGCUGAAGGAGGAGAAUCACAACACAAGUUCAAGCCUAGCCUGGGGAAUGUAGUGCCUUAGCGAGGUCCUGUCUCGAGUAAAAUAGAAUAGAAAAAUAUAGAAUAAGCUGGGACUAUAGGUCCGUGCUAAGGCCCCAGGUUCAUUCCCCAGUACAGUCAAUCAGUGGGAGGAGGCUGGACAGAGAAGGAAAGGAGAGCAAGGCCUGCACUGGGAGUGGAGGAGCAAAACUGCGGGAGGCCAGGAGAUUCCGGUGUUUCGGGGGUGGCAGGGAGGUGCAGAGGCUGAGGAGUCAGACAGGAAGGGCUAUGACCAGCAGGAGUCUAAAGAAGCUCAGAGCCUUAGACCGGUGACCUCUUCAUUCUGCUCACUGCUGCCCUGGACACCCAGGGCUGCCCAGUAAAUGCCAGGUAGAGUCUGCAUUUGCUCCUCUGGAACUUGGGCUGCACUUAGUGAUUUGUGAAACUGCAGAACGUGGGGAUGAACACAGCCUGGAGCUUCUGACAUCAGGUCACAGGUGCCUUGCAACUUCUGCCUGGGCCUCUGGGAAUUCCAGCUCUUGGAGACCCAAGCCACCAUCAAGUUAAACUCCUCUGGGAUGGCUGUGCUGGAAAGCCUGGGAGAAACCACAGGGAGAAGGGUGUCCUCCUGACUUUUAGCUGUCCCCAGCCAUUUGAGUCACAGGCUCCAUAUAUAGAACAGAGAUCCUUGCUGAUCCCCACUGGGAAAGCAAAAUAAAGGAUUCUGGUCCUAAGUCUCUUAA